UCCCUCACAUCAAACCCAUGAUCUCCCAUCCAUCCGAUAAAAUAGACGGUCCAGAUACCAAUCAAACGUACGUGUCUCACGUGCGGCAGCGAUUAGAUCUGCGUGUGGGAAAGACAAAAGAAACCCGGGAACAGAAAUAACAAAGUACAGUGAUCUACUCUCUCUCCUCCACUAACCUACACCGCAGCGUACACGAUGCGCACUACGCACAGCCCCUCUUCCAUCCCUUCACCUCGUUGCUGCAGCAAGCCGACGACAGUCUCCUUGCUGUCAAGAUUCCCUUCUCUGUCAUCCUACCUUUCUUAUCCCUUCAUCACCUAUCCCAACCAAACCCCACCACCAUCAUAACCGUCAGCGCCAUAAUCUCAAGCCCUAGCUCCAGCCAUGGGCUGUACAGGUUCCAAGCUAGACGAUCUUCCGGCCCUCGUCCUCUGCCGUGAACGCGCCCAACUCCUCGAGUCCGCCAUCCGAUACCGUUACAUGCUUUCACAAUCUCAUCUUUCCUACACCCAAUCCCUCCACUCUCUCGGCAUCUCACUACACCGCUUCUUCGAUGUGGACGCCCACAACGAAGCUCCGUUGUCCCCAAUCUUGCAGCUCCCGACACAAAGGAAGCUCGACCCGGAUCCGGAUCCCGUUCCCGUCGUCCGUCCUCCAUCGCUGUCCUCAAACCCUCCGCAGAUCCCGGCCGUUCAUCACUCCCGAUCCAAUUCCGGCUCUCACCUGCAUUUCCAUUCCUCCGACUCUGAUAACGACUCCGACGCUCACUUAUCCCCUCUUCAUGAUGACAACAUCCAUGGAUUCGUCCACGACAACACCCAGAUGCCGCCACGGUAUAAUGCUUACUACAUGCAGAACCGGCCCACCGUGCCCUCUGUCGAGACCGUCAAUUACAGUGAGCCGUCAUCCUCUUACUCCUACCCUUAUAAUUACUCGAAUUACGGUUACAACGAUUACGGCAGCUUGUUUGGAUCGGCGUCGAUGCCGCCGCCGCCGCAGCAGCAGCAGCCACACUACUCUUCUUACCCGUCAUCGUCGUUGCAUCCUCCCAUGGAGCCUGCGGCGGAAGCUUCAACGUCUCGGCCGCCUCCCCCACCACCUUCUCCUCCGAGGGCUUCGGCGUGGGAAUUUCUGAACCCUUUCGGUAUGUUUGAGAGUAGCUAUCCUACGCCGUACACCCCCAGCCGCGACUCGAAGGAUGUGAGAGAGGAGGAAGGGAUCCCUGAUCUGGAAGACGAGGAAUACCAGCACGAGGUUGUUAAAGAGGUCCAUGGCGAGCAGAAGCUUGCAGCGGAUGCUGCCGACGGUGGCAGGUACUUGAAUGUGGAGAACAGAGGACUUGGUGGGGAUGCGGUGUACCAGGAGAGACGGAGCGGGUUCGGCCAGAGUGAGGAAGUGGAAUAUGAGGUGCACAUGGUGGAGAAGAAUGUAGUUGCGAAUGAGGAGCGGCCGCCGGAGGACCGCCGGAGGAAUGUGGGUGCGGUGAAGACGCUUGGGGGUUCGUUGAGUGUUUUGGAGGUCGUGGGAGAAAUCAAGGCACAGUUCGAUAGAGCGUCAGAAUCAGGGAGCGAGGUCUCAAAGAUGCUUGAAGUGGGAAAGCUUCCGUACCGCGGGAAGAACGCCAUUCAUAAAGUGUCUUCCAAGAUGUUGGAUGUGAUUACUCCCUUAUCUGUGGUAUCUUCACAGCCUUCUACUUCUAAAAGUGCUGAAGAGUUGCCGUCUAGUGAUAAUGUCAGUUCUCUUUCCGUGGAUUUUGAUAAAGACAUGGGGAUGAAGUCAGGAAAUCUUUCUUGCACAUUGGAGAAACUAUACAUUUGGGAGAAGAAACUUUAUGAAGAAGUCAAGGCUGAGGAAAAGAUGCGGAUAAUCCAUGAGAGAAAGAGCAGGCGGCUGCAACAUUUGGAUGAAAAGGGUGCGGAGUCUCAUAAAGUUGAUGACACUCGAACUACAGUCUUGAAGUUAUCCACAAAAAUUAGAAUAGCCAUUCAGGUUGUUGACUCCAUCUCAAAUAAGAUAAGUACGUUGAGGGACGAAGAGUUGUGGCCACAGACUAAUGAAUUAAUUCAAGGGCUACUAAGAAUGUGGAAAGUCAUGCUUGAAUGCCAUCGGAGUCAGUGUCAGAUCAUAACCGAAGCUAAAAACCUAGAUGCUAUCGCCUCCAGUAGAAAGUUUAGUGAUGCUCACAUGAAAGAGACUGUGCAGCUUGAGCUGGAUCUGCUGAACUGGAUUUUAAGCUUCUAUGCCUGGAUUGGUGCCCAGAAGGGAUAUGUCAAAGCAUUGAACGGAUGGCUUUUGAAGUUCAUUCACUACGUGCCAGAACAAACAGUGGAUGGUAUCGCUCCCUUCUCCCCCGGUAGGAUGGGCGCUCCUCCUGUGUUUGUUAUAUGUAAUCAAUGGUCGCAAGCUAUGGAAAGGAUCUCAGAGAAUGAAGUCUUUGUGGCUAUGCGAAGCUUUUCCAUGAGUGUGCUCCAACUCUGGGAACAUCACAACAUGGUUGAGCGUCAGAGUAUGAUUGUCAAUAAGGACAUGGACAGUAGGAUCAAGGCCCUCGAGAGGGAGCAGCAAAAGAUGCAUAAGGCGGUGGACACGGUAAACAAGAAGCUAGUGCUGGUUUCUGAGGAGAGUGGACUUCCACGGCCUGAGCUUAUUAAUGAAAGCUAUACUGCCAAUGUCGAUAGUUUACAGGUGGGUCUGAAACAGAUUUUUGAGGCCAUGGAGAAGUUCAGUGCUGAAUCCAUGAAAGCUUACGAGGAGCUCCAUACGCGGAGUGAAGAAGAGAGGCUAGCCCAGGAGAAUGCAAAAGCUCAGUAGAGUUCAGUGCUCAGUUCAUCUGGAUUGUGCAUUGGUUAGAGAACAUCAAGUACUGCAGAUCUUUUGGUCAAGUCGGGUUUGAAUUUGAGAAGCCAUUAUAAUAAUGGCUGAGAGAGAUGAUCUGGUUUAUGCCCUGAUGGCCGAGAGAGAUGGUCUGGUUAAUGGCCGUCUAAAUCUUCAAUCGGCUGUGUGAUUCGAUAAGCGCAAGGAUAUGCACACAUAAAGGAGCAAGUUAGCGGCUACUCAGGGGAAGAGAAAUGUGAUGACUGACUGUGGGAGUAAGAUGGCUACUGCUCCUAUGACUUGUUCUUGCCAUUGUGGCAUGUGCAUAUGAGAUCUGCACCAUCCAUCAGGUGGCUCCCACUGUGUAUGUGCCAUUCAUGUGGGCCACAAGUGUAUGGAAAUGUUUUUGAAAAAACUUCACCAGUGGUCUGCAUUUGUUGUACAUGUCUGGCUUCCCUGAUGACCAGACUCGCCUGAAUUUUGGGCUGAAGCCAAUAAAAACAGUGGGCCCCACCUGAAGAACAUCCUGGAUCUUGCAGACAUGGGAGAGUGGGAUAUGAAAUCCUGCUCCGGGGAGUAGCUGUAGCAGGGAUUUUUGACAGAGGUACUCUCUAGCUUGAUCUGAUCUUGUCAAAGGCUAUGGUCCUGGAUUUGCGGAACUGUUGAGCAUGAUCCUCUCCACAGGUUGAUGAUCUGGCAUCCAGGACUAUGGAUCGAAGCCAGGCUGCUUUCCAAAAUCUCUGCAGUCUCGUUAUGUCUUCUAUCAUUGGCGUGGGUUACAAAGCAUUGCCGAUAUGAAGACAAGAAUCGAAAAGCAUGGUUGACCCGCCCAUAUCUCCUGCCAGUUGACUUCAUGAUGCACACAGAUCUAUCUGCAUGCUGGUUUUCCAAUGACUGGGGAGAUUCAAGCCUGAGGCUGAGUUGAUACACUGCAUUGAGUGAAGAAGUUUCUUAAUCACUUGUAGUGCACCCAGAAAUGGGUGAGAUGCCAAUACGGAUGGAUUCUACUCGGAACGCUACCUGUUGUCUUCAACUCUCAAUCAGCAAAGCUGAGGCUGAGUUGAAACAACAGAUCCGAGUAAAAAUCACUUUAGUUCUGACAGAAAUGGAUGAGAAGCCAAUCAGAGCAGUCCCUACAGCACAAACAAGAUAUCCGGGGUUGAUAUCUUCAACAUCUUCUUGAUCAGCGUCCUUGAGGCCAAGAGUCAAAACAACAGAUGCUGAGAAAAGAUCGAUUUGGUUAUGAAUGAAAUGGGUGAGAAGCUGAUAUUAACAGUUCCUACUCCAACUCGUAUAUCAGGGUCUGAUAUCUGGACCCUUGGUCAACAACCACGAGGCUGAGUUGAAACAAAUAGAUGGGAGUAAAGAAGGUUAUCAGUCACUUUGGUUCUAACAGAAAUGGAUGUGAAGCCAACCUGAAAUGGUUUCCACUCUGAACGAUAUUUGAGGAUCCAGUAUCUUCAAGCUCACUGAGAUCAGUGAUAUCUACGUGCCCUUGGCAGAAUUUUGAUCCGCAUUUGGAGGAAUCGAAGGUUAUGAGCUGCCGUUAGGGUGAGAAGCGGGGAUGCGAUCUCAAGGUAUGCAUCAAUUCAUCUGUUACGGAACUGGUAUUUGGAGCGUGUAGAUUGAACUGGGCCAUGCAUUAUGUAUAUCUUCAGGUGGUGUAGAUUGAAGUGCCAUGCGUUAGGUAUAUCCUCAAGUGGUGCCAGCAGUUGUCGGCAUUGUCAAAGAAUAUCUGCCGAUACAUAUGGUGGAAAUAUAAAAAUCCACUUCUUUUAUGCAGGUUUUGAGGAGAAGCUGUGGAAAAGGAAAGGAUCUUCUCAGCCAUUUUUAUGCAAAGCCUGUUUUCAUUUUCACAUGAUUCUAAGGUAAUUUUAACUAUUUAAACAUCCCAACUAAGGUGAAAGUGAUGGUAAUGUCCGUCCUACCCAGCCCUAGCCCAGCCCUGGACCUAGUCCCAUAGGGCUGACGUUGUGGGGAAAAGUGUGGCGCAAUCAAGGGUUUGAAAUGGUAGGAAUAUAGGAAAUCUUUUACAGUA